UACGUGGGUGCUGGAAGGUCAGAGGGAGGGGCUUCUGUCUCGGUGUGUGUCCUCUGACCUUCCUGCAUCCCGUUC
rnacentral:precursor_RNA from 1 species